UACCCUGCGGAGUGCUCAGGUCCGCCGCAUCUCCUGGGUCCGUGGGGUCGGCCGGUCGUUGACGGUGUAGGAGUGGCCUCCUCGAUGCCGUUGACGACCGGCCACCU
rnacentral:sRNA from 1 species